GUACCGUGAGGGAAAGAUGAAAAGAACUUUGAAAAGAGAGUUAAACAGUACGUGAAAUUGUUGAAAGGGAAACGAUUGAAGUCAGUCAUACCAACGGGAAAUCAACCUUUUGAGCUCGGUCUCGUGGGUUUUGAAAAGUUUCAAAGCCUUCGGAUUCGCGGGAUUGGGAUCUCUCGGUGUACUUUCUCGUACGGUUAGUCAACAUCGGUUUUGAAUGUCAUAAAAUGACUGGAGGAAUGUAGCUUCAAUCUCGUAUUGAAGUGUUAUACCCUUUGGUAGAUGUGAUGUUUGAGACCGAGGAUUGCAACGGAUACCCUUCAGGGCUAUUCGUCUGAUCUCUGAUACGUUGCCCUGAUGUUGAAAGCUUGCUUAUGAUGUUAGGGUAUUACGGUCAAAAGGUUAGAACUCAUUAUAUUCGUUAAGG
rnacentral:rRNA from 1 species